rnacentral:rRNA from 1 species
AGCGAACGCUUGCGGCAUGCUUAACACAUGCAAGUCGCACGGUCGGCGCAAGCCGGCAGUGGCGGACGGGUGAGGAACACGUAGGAACGUGUCCUGAGGUGGGGAAUAACGCCGGGAAACUGGCGCUAAUACCGCAUAUGAGCUGAGGCUCAAAGCCGCGAGGCGCCUUGGGAGCGGCCUGCGUCCGAUUAGGUUGUUGGUGGGGUAAUGGCCUACCAAGCCUGCGAUCGGUAGCUGGUCUGAGAGGACGAUCAGCCACACUGGGACUGAGACACGGCCCAGACUCCUACGGGAGGCAGCAGUGGGGAAUAGUGGACAAUGGGCGCAAGCCUGAUCCAGCAAUGCCGCGUGGGUGAAGAAGGUCUUCGGAUUGUAAAGCCCUUUCGGCGGGGACGAUGAUGACGGUACCCGCAGAAGAAGCCCCGGCUAACUUCGUGCCAGCCGCCGCCGUAACAC